rnacentral:rRNA from 1 species
UGGGGAAUUUUGGACAAUGGGCGAAAGCCUGAUCCAGCAAUGCCGCGUGUGUGAAGAAGGCCUUCGGGUUGUAAAGCACUUUUGUCCGGAAAGAAAUCCUUGGCUCUAAUACAGUCGGGGGAUGACGGUACCGGAAGAAUAAGCACCGGCUAACUACGUGCCAGCAGCCGCGGUAAUACGUAGGGUGCAAGCGUUAAUCGGAAUUACUGGGCGUAAAGCGUGCGCAGGCGGUUUGCUAAGACCGAUGUGAAAUCCCCGGGCUCAACCUGGGAACUGCAUUGGUGACUGGCAGGCUAGAGUAUGGCAGAGGGGGGUAGAAUUCCACGUGUAGCAGUGAAAUGCGUAGAGAUGUGGAGGAAUACCGAUGGCGAAGGCAGCCCCCUGGGCAAUACUGACGCUCAUGCACGAAAGCGUGGGGAGCAAACAGGAUUAGAUACCCUGGUAGUCCACGCCCUAAACGAUGUCAACUAGUUGUUGGGGAUUCAUUUCCUUAGUAACGUAGCUAACGCGUGAAGUUGACCGCCUGGGGAGUACGGUCGCAAAAUUAAAACUCAAAUGAAUUGACGGGGUCAUAGCUGUUUCCU